rnacentral:rRNA from 1 species
AACGAACGCUGGCGGCAUGCCUAACACAUGCAAGUCGAACGAGACCUUCGGGUCUAGUGGCGCACGGGUGCGUAACGCGUGGGAACCUGCCCUAAGGUUCGGAAUAACUCCCCGUAAGGGGUGCUAAUACCGGAUAAUGUCUGCGGACCAAAGAUUUAUCGCCUUUGGAUGGGCCCGCGUUGGAUUAGCCAGUUGGUAGGGUAAAAGCCUACCAAGGCGACGAUCCAUAGCUGGUCUGAGAGGAAGAUCAGCCACACUGGGACUGAGACACGGCCCAGACUCCUACGGGAGGCAGCAGUGGGGAAUAUUGGACAAUGGGCGAAAGCCUGAUCCAGCAAUGCCGCGUGAGUGAUGAAGGCCUUAAGGUUGUAAAGCUCUUUUACCCGGGAUGAUAAUGACAGUACCGGGAGAAUAAGCUCCGGCUAACUCCGUG